rfam:Photorhabdus luminescens subsp. laumondii TTO1 complete genome
CCUGGCGGCGAUAGCGCGGUGGUCCCACCUGACCCCAUGCCGAACUCAGCAGUGAAACGCCGUAGCGCCGAUGGUAGUGUGGGGUCUCCCCAUGUGAGAGUAGGACACUGCCAGGC